rfam:Ovis aries breed Texel chromosome 1, whole genome shotgun sequence.
GGGGGUAUAGCUCAGGGGUAGAGCAUUUGACUGCAGAUCAAGAGGUCCCCGGUUCAUAUCUGGGUGCCCCCU